rnacentral:misc_RNA from 1 species
AGAGAGAGAGAGAGAGAGAAUUCUUCCUGGCUUUAUGGUCAGAUUGAAUUUUAUAUGUAGCGGUAAAACAAUGUGUGUGUGUGUGCAUCUGACUCUCUCCAUGUCUCUGGGGCAGUGUUUGGACCUAGGACCUUUGGAAUGGUCAUAGCAACAUCAAUGAGUGCUUUUUUAUCAUCCGCUUAUUAUCCAUUGACUUUUUUAAGGUCUGUGGAUGCUGGUGCAGCAACAUCAUUAUUUGAUAAAAUAUCCUACAUGUAUUUAUAUAUCUUACAUCUUCUGCUCUGUUUAUUUAAUUAUUUGUGGUAUAUGGUAAUUUGGUAGUUUUUCUGACCUUGCCAAGCAUGAUCUUAUCUUUUGAACUUUAUGUUCAGGGAAAGAAACUUAUGGUGAUA